UAUUUGACUAGCAUAGUUGAAAUAAUGAAAAGAAAAGAGUACUAGAGAAUAGUGGAACAAGCUAUCAAAUAGCGUCUGGUGACUUUCAGCUUCACAAAGACAGGGGAAUCAAGAGUUCAGCAUGAAAACAUUCUCUGAAAUGGUCUACUCAUUGGUUGGAUUUUCUUCUUAAAUUGUAGCUAAUGAGAAUCAAGAUUCAUCCAAUUUUGGCAUAUGAGGAAAAAAAAAGAAGCAAGAUUCAUGUCAUAUGGCACAGAAUGAAAUAAUUUUCCAGACGGGCAAUCAAUAUUUCAUUUUAGACCAUGAAAACAGAAGCCCAAGCCUAGGAGAUUCCAGCCACCUCCCUUCUCAGCGUAUUUACAUCAGUGGCUGACCAUACAUCGGAGGAAAUCAGCUGAAGAAUGAAGAGGUUGGGAUUUGUCUAACGUCAUGGCCAAUAGGGAGCAUGGGAGCAUUCCCUAACUCCAAAGUGACUUUUCCCCAGAACCCCAUUUCUCUCUGCCACGUAUAAGGCACUGUAAUAAGUGAAGGAGUUUAGGAAUAGGAGUAACAAUAUUAAUAAAAUAGUUUUUAACCUCAGAAAUGUAAUAUCAAAGGUAAGCCAGUGAUUUUGUCUCCCUCUACAACAGAACUAAGAGCCUGUGCAUUUCGGAAUGCUGGCUUCAUAUCCAAAUAGAGAUGACCCUAGUCUUCGGGUCUUCCAUAGUUGCCUGGCUUCACACGAAUCCCACUCGUAUAACUCUAGCUGGGGACGGAUCCAAACUACAUUUCUCAGAGCGAUGCUUCUCAACAGCUGCUCAUCUAGCUGUACCGAAAUGCAGUGUCUGUUUCUUCACCUUUCCCCUGCCCCGGCUGUACAAUCAUCGCAGUGUGGCUGUUGGCCUGGACCUAUCAUGCCAGUCAAACAGUGCGUGGUAAGGUCAUGAUCGAACUUCACAUCACUCAACUCAAAGACAUUUUUUUCUCCAUCUUUGACUUGUCGAGAGGCAGAACAGCAUAACGGCAAACAAAGUAUGGAACUUUAAAGUCAUACUGCCUUGGUUUGACUGCUAACGCCUCUAUUUACUAGUUGUGUAAUCUCAAGCAAGGGACUAACUUCUCUGUGCUUCACUUUCUUCAUCUAUAAAAUAGUACACCAUAGUACAGGUGUCAAGAUUCAAGGAGUUGAUAUAUAAAAAACCGUGAGAAAAUGUCUGAUGCAUAUUAAAUGCUACAGAUGUUAGUUGUUAUUAUUUAUUGUUACCUAAGCUGCUUGACAUGUUAACUGUUUUUUUCUUCUUUAGCCCUAAUCUUCCAUUGAUCUCUGUGGCACCAUGUUUUCAUGAUUUUACUCUAUCCUCUCCAAUAAUUUUUCUUACUCACCUGUGUAGACUCUUUCUUUUUUUAUUUUUUACUUAACAAAGAGCUGUUUAAUUUCUUCAAGUUUCACUUAUUCUGUCCAUCUUUUUUUAUUAGUUUUCUAUCCUCAGAAAUCUCAUCAAAAUUCACACGUUAGAAUACCAAGUGAAUAUAUAUUAUUCAAAUAUAUAUGCAUGACAGAUUCUCCCCUAAAUUCUCAAUUGACAUACCUACCUACCUUCCUGCCAUCUCUAGUUGUAUAUCUCAUGUACAACUUAAACUCGGUAUUUCUACCCAAAUUGGUCACAUUCUGGCAUUCUGGUAUUAAUAAAUAUAACCAGAAGUCAAUGUGUUAUUGAAGUUAGCUGCCAAGAAAUCGUCCAGAGCACUCUGUCACCCUCACCUCUAAUAACCAAUCCAUUGUUAAGUCUUAAAAAUUAUAUAUCCUUUGAUUUAGAUAUUUCUCACAGCCCAUCAAUGCUACUACCAAUUCUCACCUGGACUAUUGCAAUAGAUUUCAAAGUGUUCUCUUUUCAUUUCUUGGACCCCUGUCUCUCCACUUUCCACACAUAAAGUAAAACAGUCUUUUCAAACACGAGGAGAUCCUAACAUUAUCUGCUUAGAGCAUCUUGAUAUCUUUCUUAUACUUUUGUAAUAAAGGCAAACUUACCCUUUCACUGAGCCCACAAAACCAUAUCUCAACACCUUUAAGUAUCUCACCCUUCCUCUUCUUUCUUACUACUAAAUAACUAUUGUUUCAUGUCAUUAACAGCUUCCUGCUCCCUCUCACUGCAGGGCCUUUGCACACACUGGUCCUUCUGCUCUUUCUCUCCUCUUGGCCUCAUUAGUGUCUAUUCACCUUGACAUCUUGGCUGUACCAUCACAUUCUCAAGGAAACCUUUUCUAAUCCUCUUGAUUGGAUAAACUUCAUAUUUCUUUGCUCUGUAGAAUUUAUCAUGGUUGUGUUUUUACAUUCCUUCAUGGAUUAUGUCUGUCUCAUACAGUAGACUGUAAACUCAAUGAAACGAUGCCUUUGGGGGGAGGUGGCUAUUAUUUAUAUUCCUAGGACCUGAUUCAGAGAUGUCGCUCCAAUAUAUAUUGGUUGAAGUAACAUAACCCUGGCCGCUCUGAACGCAGCUCUGUUUCUAUAGCAUCAUGUCUGGAAGAGCGUGGACCUCAUUUUACAGAAGAAUUAGCCACAUGAAUAUAGUAUACGUCAGAGACACUGCAGGUUUGGUACCAGACCACCACAAUAAAGUAAAUAUUGCAAUAAAGUGAGCCAGAUGAUUUCUCCGGUUUCCAGUGCAUACAAAAGUUACGUUUAAACUACACUGUAAUCUAUUAAGUAUAUGAUAGCAUUAGUUAUUAAAACAAAGGCCAUACCUUCAUUUAAAACUACUUUAUUGCU